AACGCACAUUGCGCCCUUUGGUAUUCCGAAGGGCAUGCCUGUUCGAGCGUCAUUGUCAACCCUCAAGCCUGGCUUGCAGUUGAGUUUAGCCCGUCACACCGGCUGGCUCGAAAGACAAUGGCAGCGUCGUUUGGACCCUGGAUGCAACGAGCUUUCACAAGCACGCAUUGAAGUGGCCGAACAACCCUCGCCGAGAACCUCUUUUUCAAGGUUGACCUCGGAUCAGGUAGGAAUACCCGCUGAACUUAA
rnacentral:misc_RNA from 1 species